rnacentral:tRNA from 1 species
GUGAGUAUAGCUCAGUGGUAGAGCACAUGCUUAUAUGCAUGAGGUCCUGGGUUCAAUCCCCAGUACCUCCA